rnacentral:tRNA from 1 species
GGAGGGAUGGCAGAGUUGGUCGAAUGCGGCGGUUUUGAAAACCGCAUCCCGACGCAAGUCGGGACGGGGGUUCGAAUCCCUCUCCCUCCGCCA